rnacentral:rRNA from 1 species
UACGGAGGGGGCUAGCGUUGUUCGGAAUUACUGGGCGUAAAGCGCACGUAGGCGGCUUUGCAAGUUAGAGGUGAAAGCCCGGGGCUCAACUCCGGAAUUGCCUUUAAAACUGCAUCGCUAGAAUUGUGGAGAGGUAAGUGGAAUUCCGAGUGUAGAGGUGAAAUGCGUAGAUAUGUGGAGGAACACCAGUGGCGAAGGCGGCUCUCUGGACUGUAACUGACGCUGAGGCGCGAAAGCGUGGGGAGCAAACAGG